GGAGGAUUAGCUCAGCUGGGAGAGCAUCUGCCUUACAAGCAGAGGGUCGGCGGUUCGAUCCCGUC
rnacentral:tRNA from 1 species